rnacentral:tRNA from 1 species
GCCCGGGUGGCGAAACAGGUAGACGCAAGGGACUUAAAAUCCCUCGGAGGCAACUCCGUACCGGUUCGAUUCCGGUCCCGGGCACCA